GAUCCUGGCUCAGAUUGAACGCUGGCGGCAGGCCUAACACAUACAAGUCGAACGGUAACAGGAAGCAGCUUGCUGCUUCGCUGACGAGUGGCGGACGGGUGAGUAAUGUCUGGGAAACUGCCUGAUGGAGGGGGAUAACUACUGGAAACGGUAGCUAAUACCGCAUAACGUCGCAAGACCAAAGAGGGGGACCUUCGGACCUCUUGCCAUCGGAUGUGCCCAGAUGGGAUUAGCUAGUAGGUGGGG
rnacentral:rRNA from 1 species